UUUUAUACAGGUUAUCAAUAGCCAAGUACAUGGUGUUUAUCAGCCUCGGAAUGAAAGAACAUACAAAAAUAAAUGUGAAAUUGAAAGCUCAGGCUUUUGAGCUGCCUCAAAAGGAUGAAUUCGAUCAAUGUGGAUCUAUUGGGACAUCCAAAGGGGCUUUGCUUUACUUCAUCAAAGAUACUUAUAGGGACUAAUCUGGACGUUUGAUUACAGCUGUUGUUGGGUGCUCAAGCACAGCACCAACUUUCAUGGUCCCGUUUGGCACCGACCACUGGAUAAUAUUUUUAUUUUUAUCGUGACUUCAGGGACUUCAAAUUUUAUGCUUUUCAUCCGAGCGAGGAUCACAUUUUUCUGCAUAUUUUUUGUGUCAUACUAUGUUAUAAUCACAAUACCAAGGAUUUUUAUUUCUUUGAUCUAUUGCAUCGAUAUGAUAUUGCGAUUUCCAAAGCGUACAAUGUACUCCCUUGCUUGCGCUGUGGAGUUGUUCUGAAUAGAGUCAUCAAGAGCCAUUAGAGAUCAACAAAUUCAUGCUGUAAGUUGUCUUACCUGCCUUUCAUUGACUUAUUUAUAUUGCUUAUUUUUCUGUAAAGAUAAUAACUUUCUAUUGGUGCUUGUUGGUCUCGGGAGACUGAGGUUGCUAGGUUAGCCAGAAGAAAUAAAUAUUACAGUUCUUGCCUUUACCAUGUGUUUCGUUUUUGAGAGUUUAGGUACUGAAAGAGAUCAUUGUUACCUUCCAAGAAACGAUGACAUGAUAUUGUGUUUAGACAGUUGCAAAUGAUGAAUGAUGUGGACUGUUAUCCGUAACCAAAGAAUGUAAUAAGCAAAUAAUUUGCAUAUAGACGAAUGUGAACAUGAGUGAUGUGGUCUGGGUGAGAACUGACUGAAUGCUUGAUUCGAGUAAGAACCUAUUGAUAUCAAAUUGGUUUAUAUUUUAUUGCACUGUAAGUUGACCUCAAAGGUUGGAACAAGCUAUUAUUGGGAACUGAAUUUGAUCUGUUGUCUUUUGUCUCAGUAUUAUGAUGGUUUUGUUAAUGGAAAAAAACUGAAGCGAUUUAUCAAUUAUCAGUAUGUGGUUUUAACUGCUUUUUGGGUUUUUUGGCUACUAAAGAAUGUUAUAAAAUUCAAAGGGAUGAGAGUGGACAUAGAGUUUGGGAGUGACGAGAUUGUAUAUUAGACUUUUGGUUAAGUUGACUGAGCAAAUAUGCUUGUUUUACUUGUCGAUCCUUGAAAGUAACUGAUUUUAGAUAAAAAUUAAUAUGGGGAUAAGUUUAAUGUUCCAGUUAAGUAUGGUGAAGGUUAACUUUUGUGAAUGACUUUCUUCCUCCGUUUUAUUUCGGAAGAUGUUGUAUUCUUGUAUAUUCGGCCAUUUUCAUUGUUUGCCGUGUCUGAUUUCUCGUAGUCCCUAUGCGCUUUUACACUGUCCAUAAUGCUAUUCUCUAUGCUAGUUUGGACAAUCGACAAUAGUACUAUGUUCCUUAUGUUUUCUAUUUACUGAUUUUGAUUGCUGACUACUGACCAUAGACAUUGUUCCCAUACUUUUUUGUUCUUUUUUUUUUUUUUUUUUUUUUUUUUUUUUUUUUUUUUGUUCCCAUACUUUUUUGAGUUAAUAGCUGGUGGUAUUAAUACAAGUAAUUUUUUCCUCUGCAGAAUAACCUGUUGGGGACAAAAACCAUGGGGCUUCUGAUGGUGAAAUGCAAUCUGACACAUUCGUUCUU
rnacentral:lncRNA from 1 species